AGCAGCCGCGGUAAUUCCAGCUCCAAUAGCGUAUAUUAAAGUUGCUGCAGUUAAAAGCUCGUAGUUGAAUUUCGGGACUAAUAUGUCGGUCGUGCCUCGGUACGUACUGGUUUAUUGGUUUCCCCUUUCUGAAGAACCAUGAUGUCAUUUAUUUGGUGUCGUGAGGAAUCAGGACUGUUACUUUGAAAAAUUGAGUGUUUAAAGCAGGCUCGCGCUUGAAUACAUUAGCAUGGAGUAAUGAAAUAGGACGUUUGAUUCUAUUUUGUUGGUUUCUAGGAUCGACGUAAUGAUUAAUAGGGAUAGUUGGGGGCAUUAGUAUUCA
rnacentral:rRNA from 1 species